AUGCGUCCCUACCUCCGGCGUCAGGUGCGUGCCAGCGUUUGCCGCCGCGCCGGAGCCGAUCAGGACCGCCCCGCGUCCCGCCGCCUCCCGAAGCGACCCGCGACGGGCGGCGCGAGGCUGUCGGCCAGGUUCAGGACGGCGGCGGCGGCGCACAAGGUGAAGCUCGUCGGGCCCGAUGGCGCGGAGACGGAGCUGGAGGUGGCGGAGGACGCCUACAUCCUGGACGCGGCGGAGGAGGCCGGCGUGGAGCUGCCCUACUCGUGCCGGGCCGGGUCGUGCUCGACGUGCGCGGGGAAGCUGGCGUCCGGCGAGGUGGACGGGUCGUUCCUGGACGACGCGCAGAUGGCCGAGGGCUACGUGCUCACCUGCGUCGCCUACCCCCGGGCGGACUGCGUCAUCUACACCCACAAGGAAGAGGAGGUGCAUUAG
rnacentral:rRNA from 1 species